rnacentral:misc_RNA from 1 species
UAGUCUUUGUCGUGUAGUGGUGUCGUCGUCGUCGUUGUGCGCUCGUCCAGCGUUCAAGGAACCAAUUACCAAGGAACACACAGGAGAAACUGCUCACAUUACAUACAUAUAGACACACACGUACACACAAACAGCAUAGUGAAGGCAACAUACAAGCACACGCUCCAUGGUAUUGUAUAUGUAAAAUGAGAGACACACACGCAAACACUUGAUAUACUGAUGGACAUUGUGAAAAAAGUUCAGAAAAUGCUGAAAAAGUGUAUAAUAUUGAUGGAAAAAUAAUAAAAAUAUGUGGAAAAGUAAAAUAAGUAAUAAAAUAAUGAAAAUAUAUUGGUUUUUAAGUAAAAUAUUUCAAAAAAUUCCUAACUAGGGAUGGAAUUCUUAGCGAAAACUGUGACGUAGUGCUACCCCUGCCCCUAUAAAACAGAAGAAAGUUUCUAGAAAACGACCUAGCCAAGUAGAUAUGGGAGAAAAAAAUAAUUUUGCUAAAAUAAAAGCAGGGCAUUUACAUAUACAUAUAUUUUCUAUACACAAUGUGAAAACGCUCCGCACACCUGAAGGAAAUAUUUGCCCUUAGGUUUGUUAGCGGGCUCUAGGGAAAGAUGACGAUCGCCUCUAACGAAUAUAUGUACGUGUCCGUGAAAUUUUUUUCUCGCGUUUUUGGAACAAUGGGGCAUAUGGGUGCAGUAGUUAGGAAAUAUCCAAAGGCGAAGAAGUGCGAUAGAAAAAUAUGUGUUUAAAAUAUAAAAUUUGAGGUCGUUGCGGUGUUGAUUUCAUUCCUUCGCAAAAUCCAUAGAAUGCAAGAAACCAAGAUGGCAAUACGCCAUGCGAUUUGAAUAAAAAAAGACUAAUGGAAUAUUCAGAUGUCGAUGGUUCUCUGUAAUAACCACACAACUCAUAACUGAAAACCCCCCUACUAUUGAACAAUGGCACAUGUCCCAAAACGAGUGCGAUAAGACCACAAAUUGCCCAUGAGAAAAUGGAUGUGUUGAUGGGUUGGUGUGUCUGACGAAAAUAGAUUAAGGUAAUUAAUCAAAAGGACACCAGUAAAAGAGAGUGGUCGGGAGCAGAAAGUGAGCAAGAAAAAUAAGGUAAACCAGCACGAAGUAUUCGAUAAACAUUGUAUGUAAAGAGGAAGUAAUAAAGAAGAUAGUAAAGAAGACGCUGGCAGGACAUGUGAAUAGAGAACUAUAAGAAAAAUAUUAAAAUUACAUACGUAUGUAUGUAUAAUAGCUUGUACAGGAACAAAAGACAAAAUAGUUGGAAUCUAAAGAACACAAGAGAAACGAACAAAGGGCAUAGCAAAAAUGAAAAAUUCGCUAGCGAAAGCAGCGGCAAAGCAACGAAAUUUAAUGAUUCCAUAAAGCGGAGGAGCGCCUGAUUUGCUUCAAUCGUCGUCAUCAUUGUCGUUUCUUAGUUAAAAGCUGCGACUUCACGCUGAUACUGCUGUCACCCGAACAACGAAAAAUUCCCAGUAAAAAACCUAAUUCACCACAGCUGGUAGCUGGUCUCUAAAACGUGCCAAUACCAUUAACUAUCAUCGACAAGCGCAACGUAUACUGGUAAUAAGCCAUCGCUCCCAACCGCCUCCAUCUCUCUUUCUAUGCCUUAUCUUCGUCCACCCUCCACAUGUCUCGUAACUUCAAACCAAGCGGUAGAGUCGCAACUCAAUUGGAAGUAACUUCAACGCUGCAGUAUAAAACGCACUUAGUAGCGAGCUGCAGCUUCAAUCACAACGCACCCAUUUGCAUUAACGCAGCGCGAAAUCUCUUGGCCCCAACAAACUUGCGUUCGGCUAAUCAUUAGAAGUACAGUACGUUUCGCUUGAUUGCGUCCGAUGCACACCAUUCAGUGCACUCAAGAAGAAAAUGCAGCUGAGCGAAAUGUCAUGAAAUUAGGAAACAUUUAUUGAAACAAAAGUCUAUUAAACAGAAAAUUGCAGUUUAAAGCAGAUACAGUUAUUUAUGAAAUCAAUGUUUGAAAAAAGCCUAUGAAGCAAAUAUCAAAUAACUACAGCUUAUAUUAACAUUGCGCAAGUGGCCAUAUGGAGCGAAUUGUGUGAAAAACUCAAGCCCACCGUCUACAGCCUGAGAGUGUUUGUUUGAUCCGGUAACUGCAUCAUAGGCCAGAUAUUCAACAUACGCCAAAUCUUGAUCGAUUUUAAGGCCGCCUUCUGUAGCACGAAAGGGAACUGCCUAUACGUCGCGAUGACAGAAAUUGGAAUCUCGAUGAAACUAACACGGCUGUGCAAAAUUACGAUAUUUCAGACAGCGCUCCUACCUUCUGUUGGUGAAGUUAAUUAAAGCUGCUGAACUGAACCGCUGUGGAACAAUUUAUUAUAAGAGCGUAAAUAUAAUUACUGGCGUAAGUCUAUGAUAAAACUAAUUAUCUCCUGUCAUCAGGCAAAUUGUCAGCGGUUUAGCUCCUCGACCCGCAUGCUACCUUAAACUAUUAUAAUUUUGGAAAAGGACUUCGUUUAUUUGGGAAUUAUAAUUAACAUUAAUCAAAAAUGCCAGCCUUGUAAUUAAGACAUGGACAAUGACAACACCCAUUGAGGCAGAACUUGGAGUGUUCGAGACAAAGAUUCUGCGGAAUUUCCGCGUGGCGGUAAAGAAAGAAGAAGACGUCCCAUUAUAUGGAAAGACCAAGUGGAGAAGGCCUUGGCUUCACUUGAGGUUUUUAAUUGGUUUCAGUGGGUACAGAAGAGGAGCGAUUUAUUGGAUUAGGUCAAAAUCGCUUCAAAAAAAGGAGGUUAUCAAUUCGUCGGAAUAUAUUUUUUUUUGAUACGUUAUCAAAUAAAUCAGACCCACGGGAACCAAUUUCGAUUCUUCUUUUAUCGAAAAGGUGUUACCUCAGGGAUGGUCCCAGACUAAUUUGGUUUAGUUCCGAUCAAUGUAUUAUGAAGAAGCUAACGAUACUCCUAAUUUUUUUUUAUAUGUGUAUUGAAGUGGGUUUUUUGUUUAAAAAUUACUUGUUUUACGAAGAAAUAAUUUUGCCGAUAAACUUAUGAGCUGUAAUUUUUAUGAAAAACUAAAAUAUUACAAUUAUGUUUGAUUAUUUUAUUGUUAUUACUGUAACAGUUGUCAAGGACUUUUAUUUUAAAAGUCAUUUACGAAUGUCGUUCCGGGAUUAAAAAUAUCCAAUCAAAAGUUGAAAAGCUAGUUCCACCAGUUGAAGUCCAGAAGUAGUUUGAGAUCCAAAUAUAUGUAUAAAAAGCCACUUUUGAAUAAAAAAGCUGUGGUAACCGUUACAAUUAAUUUUUAUGACAACAAAUGGAGCCUUCGCGAUUCCCACCUAAAUGUAAACUUUUAAUGUCACACAUCAUUUCAGAUUUUGAUGUGAACAAGUAAACCAAAAUGUUCUUCGAUUGCUUUACCCAAUGGAUCCCAUCUUCUGAUGGCAACAUUUGCUAUUUCUAUGAGGUUGCUCACACAUACCUGGUUAUCAGCUUAUCUGGUUAAAAAUUAUUCUUGUGCAGUAUAUUUAUACGUUGUAAACCGAAUAAAAAUAUAACCACAUAACCUGAUAACCAGAAAAGUGUGAACAACCCCUUUAUUUAAUCCAGGUUAUAAUUUAUUAAAAUCAACAAUAUCGUUAAAGCUACAAAAUACUUCAUAUAUACAUGUACAUAUAUGCAUGUGAAAUUUCUUUUGUUAAAUACUAAAACAAAUGCAACUUAUUUACUAUUUGAAAUGAAAAAGUGUUCCGAUUUUAAAAAUGAGGCUGCCACUCGUUCGACGAACAAAAAAAUAAAUCGCAAGAUGCAAAAGAUAAGCAAAUAAAGAGAAGUGAACAUAGUGUUUGUGAUGAGUGAAAUAAAGGAUCCUUAUAUACUCGUACACAUAUACAAUAUUUAAUAAACAAACUAUUUAACACGAUAAUCCAGAAUAAAUAAAUAUGUGUGUGUUAGUGUAAGAUCAUGUUCUCAAGAAUAGCUACCAGUUUUAUAAAAUUCCUACUCUAAAUCUCUCUCAAAGAGAGGAAAACUCGGAAAAAAAAUACUGUGCGCGCCUAAAAACUGAUGCGGCAAAAGGAUUUGAAAAAUAUCAACAAAAGCGUGCUUGCGAAAAUAAGUUUACUUGUAAAUAUGUAUGUAAUACUAAUACAUUUUGUGAAUGCAUUGUGAAAAAUAUGCAUAGAUCUGUUAACAAAAAUAGAAAAUGGAUAACAAUACAUUCACCUAAGCAUACACAGCAUUCGAGUAUUUUGUAAAUAAUUGCAUUAAAUAAACAAAAAUAUUAAUAAAAAUAUUUACUAAUCAAAAAAUACUGUUACUAUUAAUUAUAUACCAUACAUAUGUUAGUGUACAUGUAUGGAACGACUAGGUUUAUGCUAUAAAGUCUCAACUAACAACGAAUGUUUAAACAACGCCGUCUUUAUGGAUAUAUGCAAUACAUCUUAUAGUGCAGGGCUCUAAAACCAAAGAAAAAACAAAAAGGCAGAUAUAAGCAACAUAAAACCCGUGUCUCCACCACGAACCUAAAAUCCUCAAAGUUGUCGCAAUGACAGACAUACGCAUUGAUGAUUGAACGCAAGGAUGAACCAAUAUCUGUAUAUCUACGUAUGUAUGUAGAUGAGGGUAUUAAGAACAACAAUUGUAAAACGGUAGAAAUGGUAACUGAAUGAAAACAAAAGCAAUUGCAAGAAAUGAAGAGACGUAAUAACAGGUAUCGGAAAAUGCUGUAAAAGAGCUAAAGACGGGGACACAAUACCGAAAACAAGAUUGAAUUUGCCAAUACAAGCAAGCGUACAUACACACACAAAACAGGUAAAACUAUACUGACCGAAAUAAGCCAGAUGAGUUAAAAUGCUACAAGGAUACAAUAAAAAUUGCAAAGGACUGACCGACUGGAGUUUGCCCAAUGGAAUGGGGCAGCGGCAACAUAUUUGCAGACGAUGUUGUGGAAUUUCGGUAAAUUAAUUACCAAAGGUCAUAACUCAACGAAUUAUAAAAAAAAAAAAACUAUAGAAAAGCAACAACAACCGAAGGCGUGAAAAAGCAGCAGCAUAACCCUUUAUAGUUCUGACAAGAAAAAAUAGCGAACCUAGCAAAAAAGCAUCCCAAAUAUUUACACAAAAAAAAUAGAAAAAAUAUACAAAAAAUAAAAAAACGAUCUUGCCUUGGACUGUGAUGACCACGAAAUGAUGGAUGACACAAAAAAAAAGAAAAAACUGCACUACAUGAAAAACAAUAAAAGCAACACUAACAGCAAGCGAGCUAUAGUAACGUAAAGAACAGAUCGAUAGACAAAAGAGAAUCAGCAAUAAAGGAACUACAUAAACUCCUUGUAAACAAACUGAGACGGGCUUGAAGUUGAAACUUGGUCACGAAAACAAGCUAAGAAUUAGGGUAGCAAAAGGAGAGGGCACAGCGUAGCAGCAAAACCUAUGCGAAAACUUUAAAAGCUUUAAAAUCUUAGAAAUUACUUAAAAUAAAAUAUUAUAAUUAUUAUUAAAAUAACUUUAACUAAUCCACGUAAUUAAUCAUAAAUCUGAUAUAUGAACUAAAUUUCGAUAAUUAUACACAAAACAUAAAUGAAAAAAAUAAGAUCUUACAAGGAAAGUAAACCAAAAAUUUACUAGGAUAUCAAGAAUUAUAUCUGCACUCCCAUCUAAAAAAGUAACUACAACUUGCAACGCCCAAAAAAAAAUUUAACCAAAAAUAAAUUAGAUAACAGAUAAUUCAAAAAAUAAAAAAUAAAUAAAUUUAAAGCUGAAGUUAAACUAAGGUAGUGAACUUCAUUAUUCACAGCAAAAAAACCAUUCUACAAAAACAAACAACAAGGGCUUCACCCCAGCCCACGAAAGUAGACACAAAGAGUUAAAAUCGAAUAGGGGGAACAGAGGAAAUUGUAAACUGAAUCAACGAAAUCAUUUCUAUAUGAAUUUUUUCACAUUUCGAAGCCUUAGUAAACUUUAAGCUUUAAGCUAUUUUAGAAACUCUACUAAAUUAAACUUGCAAUCGCUUAUAGCAGACCAAGUUGAGUAUUUGGAUCUUGAGCUUCGCGUCGAACCACAUCAAAAACCUUCAACGCCAUUUUCCUGAGGCGUGUUUGGAAAAAUGGAUGACAUGCCAGAUUUGUCUCAUUUAACGCCCCAUGAGCGUUUGCAAAUCGAAAACGUUCUAAUGCGCCAAAAGCAGGAGGAGGAGGCUCACAAUGAAAUUAUGCGACGCAAGCAAGACGAAGUCGUCUCGCUGGAGAUGCAAAUACGUCAGCGCUCAGAGGAGCAGAAGAAAUCAGGCAUCGAGUUGGGUGCAAUAUGCCACAUUUGCCUUCAGACGAAAUUCGCCGAUGGAAUCGGACAUAUUUGCCACUACUGCAACAUUGUGUGCUGUGCGCGUUGUGGCGGAAAAGUGACACUUCGCAGCAACAAGGUAAUUUGGGUUUGUAUACUUUGCCGCAAAAAGCAGGAACUACUUUCUAAGACUGGACAAUGGAUGAACAAGGGUCAACAACAAGAUAGCUUCCUGCGACGCAUUGAGCCUGAUGGCAGUAGUGACAUUUCGCAACAGGCCAUUGUCGACCCGCAUGACACGCUCGACAAGCGCCCGAAAUUAGAACGAACGCGCAGUGCCGCUGAAAAAGAGAACCUGCCAAUGCAACGGACCGGCAGCGUGCUCCGCCGCCAAUACUCACAACAGGAAGUGCCUACAAAUCGGCGCAUGUCGGCUUCCGAUAGUGGUGUGGACGUCAGCCCAGGACAGCAACGUCAACGGCCCGUGAAUCAGCAGCAGCAGAUGCAACAGCACUACGGAACACAAGGCGGCCAACAAUUUAGUGCAGGUCAGCGUCCAUACCCGGAAGAUGAUCCGCGUUAUUAUCAGGGUGAGCUGGAUGGUUUGAUGCGACAACAUCCGCAUCUUGCGCAUCCUAGCCAGCUGCAGAAGCAACAGCAGCAACAACAACAAAGCUAUCUGCAACAACCACAACAACAACCACUUGGACAGCAAGCGCACUAUCAGCAUCAACAACAAAAGCAACAGCCGCAACAACAACAGCAACCACAACACCAUGGGCCACAAUCACGCGCGUUGCCACCACAUCAGCAACAUAUGCAACAGCAGCAACACCCACAACAACAUCAGCCGCAGCCGCUGCGUGCCCAAACGCAGCCACACCAGCAACUGCCGACGCCAACAUCCGCCAGUAUGGCGCAGCAACAACAUCCACAUCAGCAGCACCAGCAGCAUGCAGCUCAGCAGCCACAACCACAUCAACAACAACAAAGGCUUCCCCAUCAACACUCCUACAAUCCACAAACUGCACAGUUACCCGCACCCCCAAUGGGAGGGGGGUCUUAUCAGAAGCCAGCACCAUUGUCGCGAAAUCUAACCAUCAGUGGAGGCCAUGCCAUGGAUACUGCCACUUAUCCGCAGCCACAACAGCGGCGGCAACCGAUGGUCGGCGGUCAGUACGGUCCGCCGCAGCAACGUUCCUUUAGCAGCUCCGAAGAAGAGAUCCAAGCGCAUAUGCUGGCGCCCCAGUCAGCCGAAUACGAUUACGACGGCGGCUUGCGUGAACCCUGGAAACAGCAACGCAGCCUCAACGAGCGUGAUCUCUUAAGUGUGACGAAUUCAUAUGGCGCCAACGACUAUCGCCUGACCAAUACGAACCGCCUCUACUCCUCUGCGGAUCGUGAUCGCUACGACCUGCAUCGCGAACGCCUAGAACGAUAUCCGCUCACGCGAACAGCUCGAUUGGAUGUACAGCAACACAACACCUACAACAGGACAAAUCACGAUCGACAAUCAACGGUCACUGGAAGUGGAUUGUAUACGGCGCGUCGGGCGCCUUCAUUAGUCACGGCUACGGCAACCUCUGGGGGCGGUGGUAGCAGCAACAGCAGUGCUGGUAGCUACCACCACCAAAAAGCACAACAGCACCAUAUGAAUCCACAAAUUGUGAUUGACGAUAAACCAUUGCCGGCAAAUGCUUAUGAACGCUAUAGCAGUGGGACUGGUACGCGCAGUGAAGAUAGUAGUGUUAGGCGAACAAAUACCCCUGAGACUGGUAGCCUCGGACGAGAUCGCCGUUUAGUCACGGAUCUCUAUUGGGAUGAAAAUCUCACAGCGGGUAAUGCAGCGCAAGACUCGAGACGCUACACAGAGCGCAGAAUAAAGAAAACAGUACGAUUUGAUGGGCACGAUGAUCCGUUGGUAACAACAGCAAGUGUCGUAAGCGGCUCACUGCCACCAGUUACACAAAUUCUGCCUUCAACGGCUAUGGAAGUGGGAGCUGCCACUAUACUGACCAGUACCAAAUUAGGCGCAAACGCAAACACUGCCAAUACGAUAGGCAUUUCGGAUGCGUCCGCUGCCGAUUGGACACAUUGGGACGCUGAACGACAGGGUAGCCAGGAUUCGGCAACCAAAGACUCUGGCAUCGAUACCAGCAGCACGUUCACGAGCAGCGAAGACUCAAAUCGUGGUGAUGGGCCAAAGCAACCGGUGAAUUGGCAAAUAUCCGCGGAUAACACUCACAUGGUUGGUCACAUGAUAUUAAAAAAGUAUUACGACGGUGAGGAUAUUCUCGGCUUAAAAAUCAUAGGCGGUCAGCAGCUUGCGACAUCUUCACCGGCAACAACGGACUCCAGCGGGAAUAGUGAGAUCAGCGGUUGCGGUGCGAUCGUGGAAAAAGUAAAGCGCGGUUCAGUAGCCGAUGUCGAAGGGCAUAUACGAGCAGGCGACGAAAUCAUUGAAUGGAACGGUCGAGCGCUACGGAAUAAGUGCGCGGACGAAGUUUACCAGAUAAUCGACGAAAGCCGCUUGGAUGCACAGGUGGAAUUAGUUGUUUCACGUCCCUUGACCGUCAAAGUAUCAGGAAGCAACGCAGCACGCAGAGCUGCUGGCCAUCAACAGCCGCACACCGCCUUGAACAGCCAAAAUCUCACAAGCACCAUUGCUAACAGUGCUGUGGUCAGCAGCGGCGGACGUUAUUAUUCACGAAAAGCACCUGCAACCGAUGCCAUCGACAUCCACUGCGACAAGCCGAAUGUUUUAAUAACAUCGCCCGGUUCGCCCGAUUUCCACGCCACCACCGGGGGCGCGCGCACCUUUCGGCAAACGAAUGUGCAGCAACGUGGCUACAGCGGCGGCGCCGGAACGUAUCAGCAGCACUCAACGCAGCAGCAUAAACCACAACACCAACGGCUGGUACCGAACGUCGCGAACACAGCCAGUGCAGCAACAGCCGGUUCACAAGCCACAACGACGGCGAGCCACCACCAUCAUUGUCACCAGCCACCACCGCCACCGCACACGCACCCACAUGCCGCUGCACACCACUUGCCCACGGUGGGUGUGGCGCAUACUCUGCCCAUGGCCGUCGAUGGCCGGCUUCAGAUGAAACUCGGUUACGAUCAGAAUACCCUGCAGCUGAUAGUGACGCUCGUCUGCGCAACGGGUCUGACGUUGCGACAAAGUGGCGCCGCACGAAAUCCUUAUGCAAAAGUGUUCCUUCUACCCGAUCGGGGUACAAAAUCAAAAAGACGUACCAAAACUUUAGCGAAUACUUGCGAACCGCGCUGGGGCCAAACUUUCGUUUACUCGGGCCUAAGACGAUCCGAUCUCACCGGCCGUUUACUCGAAGUAACCCUGUGGGAUUACGUGCGCUACGGUGCCAAUGACUUCAUCGGCGAAGUGGUCAUUGAUUUGGCUCAUCAUGUGCUCGACGAUGAGGCGGAAUGGUAUCAUCUUCAACCGCAUCAGGACACUUCGUAUCUCUUGCAUCAGGACGACCACAAUGAAGCGGACAUUAUGAUUUUGACACCGACAGAUCAUUUAUCACCUCCCAGCACAACGUCACGUCUAAGCGAUUCCGAUACGACGUCUGAAUGUGACAUCGAUGGACUGACGCCGGGACGUGAUGGCGCAAGCAUAUCCUCACUGGGCAGCUCAUCAAGUCCACCACCAGAGAUUGACUUGAAUGAGCGUCGUUCGAGACGCGAUAUGUCACCUCAAGGUCGCAAGCGGGUUGCUGGUAUGGUAGCGCGUGAUUAUCGUACGGUAUCCGGCAUUGGACAAAGUUACCAUAAUCAGCAGGUGAGCACAGGUUACUUGCGUCGCAAUGGCGCUAUUACUGGACCCGGUAGUAUGAGCCUCAGCCAGCGGAGUCACUCUGCCGCACCAACUGACAGCUACCACGGCGUGACCGGCACCGGUCACAGUUACUACCGCAGCAGCAGCCCACGGCGCGGCUCUCUCUCGCCGCCUGACGACCGUUACAUAGACUAUCCAGUUCUUCCAAUAGAUGCAUCUGGCUCAGCGUACGGCCACCAAUUUCCAGGUGGAGCAGGCACGUUAACAGCCACCGCUGGAGGUGCUGCCUUGGGCGGAUUAGGGGGUGGGGCUGCGGCAACAAUCGGCCCGGGUGCAGGGCAACAGACCCGUUUUCAGUCGCGGUCCGCAACAGCCACUCCGACGGGAUCACCGAAGAAGCGACAAUUACCACAGGUGCCACAAACUUCUCGCAGCGCAAUGCUACGCGAUCGCCUGGGUCAGGAAUUCGAUGAGCGCCCGGGUGGCGGACGUUUCGGCCGCCAUCGUACACGCCAGAUGCAUCAUCAAGCAACGUACCGCAGUACCGGCAUGGGGGGAUGGGAACGCCACUACACAGGCCUUUCCGAUAGCGAUCUGCAAUCGAUGGAAACGCGCGUGCGGCCACGUCACUCUCUCUCACCCGACAAGGACUUCAUGGGCGAAUUCGGAGAUUCUGAUAUGGAGUCGGUGGUUAGCGUGACGUCGAGCGCCUUUUCCACUCAAUCGGAACGGCCGCGCGGCUCACGCGGGCUGAGUGAAUAUGACAAAGAUAAAAAUGGUGGUGGUGAGGAUAAGAAGGACGCCAAUUUCAGCCAGAGUGUAGACGAGAAAGUUGACGGCAGCUUAUCCGAUACGGCAACGGAUCGCAAAAAAGGCGGCGUGGACCAAGAACGUUCACCCAAAGGCGGCAGCGGUAUGGGUAAAAAAUCGAACUCCACUUCGCAAUUAUCGGCCACAGACCAAUAUACGGCUCAAUAUACAACAGCCGGAGCUUCCAAUUCAUCUCAUCAUUACCAUCUUCGACAAUCGCGCGGUUCGGCGGGUAGCAUUCAGCGCUCCGUGGAGGUGCCACCAACGUCAUCGGUCACACAAUAUCGCACCGGCAGCGUUCACUCCAUCUCCAGCUCAGAGGGUUCAUCAUUUUCACCAUCUCUACGUGGUAACGACGGCCAGUUGUCGGAGUUCAUAGAUGGUCUGGGUCCCGGACAGUUGGUCGGACGACAAGUUCUGGGCGCGCCAUCGCUGGGUGAUAUACAGCUAUCAAUGUGCCAUCAAAAGGGUUUCUUAGAAGUAGAAGUUAUACGUGCUAGAGGCUUACAGCAAAAGCCGACGUCAAAAAUGCUCCCCGCUCCUUAUGUUAAAGUGUAUUUGGUUUCUGGUAAACGUUGCAUUGACAAGAUGAAAACGUCAACGGCAAGACGCACAUUGGAUCCGCUCUACCAGCAGCAGUUGGUAUUUAAACAGCCAUACCAAGGAUGCAUCCUACAGGUGACUGUUUGGGGUGAUUAUGGACGCAUCGAGAAGAAAGUUUUUAUGGGUGUGGCUCAAAUAAUGCUCGAUGAUUUAAAUUUAUCGAAUAUCGUUAUCGGCUGGUACAAACUCUUUGGAACAACAUCACUGUACUCGUUCUCCACGCUCGAGCAAGAAACAGAAAAUGAUAAUUAAAAAACUGCUACCACUUACUCAAAAACCACACGUAUGGGAUACUGUACAAACAUUACAUAAAACCUACGCAAAUACAUAACACUACAAGCAGUCAAAUACAACUUUCUUAUUACAUACAUACUAUGUAUAUAAAUAAACGCUAUAAUUACAUAAUACAAAAAAAUUAAAAAAUUAUAAAAAAUGUAAUCUGAUACAAUUAAUUAAAAAAAAAAAAAAAAUAUCGUAAAGCUCACACUCGUUUAGACCAUUUCACCGACUUAGUCGUUUGGCAUUGAAUCGCUCAACGUAGUUUAUGGUAACCCCUGCAUAGAGCUGCUUCCACGGCAGCGCCGCGAUCCUAAGUCGCUUGGUUAGCUGGGAAAUGAAAAAACGUACGGCAGAAUGAUGAGAGAGAGGGUGGAGACUCACAUACCGAACGAACGAUGACACAGAGUCCUUAGCAAGAUUGCGGGUCUUCUACAGGAUCCCUAGUUAUUAUCACGUUUCGCAGAUGGGCACCUAUCAGCGCUCACAUAGCUUUGGCGUCGAUCAAGAGCAGCUCAACGGGAACCUUUUGAAUUCAAACGAAGUAGAAAGCACACAAACAAGAAAACAAAGCAAAAAUGCAUAUAAAUAUGUUUAGAAUAUGUUUAAGGUAUAUUUUUUAAGCUACAUAUGAGAAAAUGACUCUGACUAUGAAGAGAAAGAUGAAGAUUAAGACGAAGAUGAAGACGAUAGCGAUGAUCUGGUGAUUUAUGUAUAUCAUAGUGAUCAUAGAUGUAAUAUUGACAAUGACGAUGUCGAUGUUAGUGAUGAUGGUGGUGGUGAUGACAGAUAAAGAUGCAUUUAAUACUACAAAAUUGCAAAAUGAUACAUACACACAUAUAUAGAGCAAAGUAAAUGAGUAACAAAAAGGAUUUAUUAUGAACAUAUUUAAAAACAAAGAAGGUGUGAUUUUGACGGCAUUAUUUAUUACGUAAUAUUCUUGUAAUUAUAAGUGAAUGAAUAUGUAAAACUAUCGUUAGAAAACAUGCAAAUGAAAAUAUAUGUAUACAUACAUACAUACAUAAAAUAAAAAUAAUAAAAGACAACCUUAUCUUCAUUGGGAGUAUUAAAAAAAAAAAACAAAUGAACGAAUCUGAAUUUUAUGAUAAAUAAUUAUCAAAAACUCGGUCGACACUCAGUAAGAAAAAUAUUCACACAUUUCUAUUAUAAAAUUUAUGCUGUUUAAUACCGGUGUUCAAAUUCGAGCAGACAUGAAUUAUGUAAAUAUUAUUAAAGCGACCAUGAUUAUGAUCUAACACAUACAUACACACAUUCGUUCAUAAAUAAAAGCAAAAUAUAUUAUUAUUACUGAAGCCAAAAUCUACGAAGACAAACGAGCUAAUGUAAUAAAGCAAUAUGGAUUGCUGCACAGAGCGUUGAAAGCUAAGAAUCGCCAGAGGUUCCUCAUGCUAAUUCAAAUAAGAAUUUGUAUGUACAUAGAAAACAUAGAAAAUCAAACUGAAACCUGGUAUACACUAUUUGAAUAAGCGUGAUAAGUCUUUAGCGGCGACGUACGUACCUCGUCGAAGAGGAAAGAAAACCUAAUUAUCCUUAAGCGCUAAGUAAAGUUUCUUAUUUUCUCUCUUAAAACUCAUUUAACGAGAAAUAUUUCCUUUUGGCUAAAUAAUAAAGGAAACACUUAAAUACAUACUCCCAUGCAUAAAUACGGACAUACCGAAAAAAUAUGUACAUAUGUAUACCCAAUUUGCGAGAUGAAGUUGAUUCCGACCACGGUUGCCAAUUACCCCUUUUGUGUGUACCAAAAACUGUACAAGAAUGUAAAAAAAUUACAAAAAAAAAAUGUUUUAGCCAUUGAUUUAAUUAUUUAAAUAUUUUACAAAUUUAGUUAAGAGCGUGUCAGACGUGGCAAUAUUUCCAACUUGUCCACGCAAUUUGCUGUCAAAUUGAGACACUUUUCGGAAAUCUGUUUCAGAAAUUCAAAUAUCAUGGUAUGACUACAACUGAAAGAACGCAAAUCGAUUUCGGAAGUAUAUUUCAACUUGCUUGUGUUGCACUAGCAAUUUUUAUUUCUGCUACAAGUGGUGUCAAACUAAUCGAGUGUUGGAAAGUGACACUGAUCGCGAGUUUGUGAAUGAUAAUAAGCAUAAUUUUGAAAAAAAUAUCAGAAACGCUUUUAAUUAUUAAUGUUUCGGAAUUUAAUUGUUUAGAUAUGAAGCGUAAAUUAAUCUUCAAACUAAAAAUUUGAAGAGAAACAACGAACGACCGGCAAAGCGGCUCAUGGUUCGAUUUUUGUAUCGAGUAAUUCAUUCGCUGCACUAUGGCUGAAAUAAGCAUUUUCUCCGGCCAAAAAUCAAUCAAUGCAGAUAGGCGCUUAAAAUAUCGUAGACAUGCUUUUGAGAAUCUUAAAAGAUAUUGGUUUGAAAAUCAGCGAAAUCGGCCCACAACCACGCUCCCUCCCAUAUACCGCGUGUCCCAGGCCACCUGACCACCCCUUCUAAAAUGAAGGAAAAAUACGAAGUACCAAGUCGGGGAUGCUCUAUCUUUUGGUCGAAUUAUCGACUUCCGGUUUCGACCGGAUGUCCAUUCCAGAGAAACGUUUCUGAUAAAAGUUACCUAUUUUGUCCGCAUACUCCGAAUCUGUGGUAAAAGCAUGUAUGUUCCGGUUAAAAAAGUGGACUUCCGGCCCAUCCACACGUUGAAUAUUGUUUCAUCAGUAUGCCUUUCCCAUUGCUAAAAUAAUCACACUUAAAGGGCUGUUUGCAUGUCUCAAGAAAAAUCACAAGAAAUACUUUUCAUUAUUUCCGUUGGUUGAAAAAGUACUUCGCUUUUGCUGCAAAUUUUCCUGAAGAAAUACAUAAAUAUUCUAGCAUCUUUCGCUGAGAGCUGCAAACUGAUUUAAGAAGUUUUGAUAGAUGAAAAUUUCUCUUCCGUUUCUUGUGCGUUAUUUUAUAUGAAUUUUUCGUUUUUUCUUGAGGGCUGCAAACACCCCUUAAAACUUUUUAUAUACGUAAAACACAUCCGCGUUGACCCGCAGUUAUGUGUAAUGUAAAUGUCUAGUACAAACUAAAACCGAAACCAUACAAUUAAGGUUGUCAGAUAGGGGACCAGGGUAUCUUGCGGUCAUAAAUUCAUAAUAAUUAGAGUAUCUAGUAUAAAGUCCGCCUGUUAAAAAUUUUGAAAUCAAAAAUUGAAAAUUGGACCUUUGGCCACAGAAAAUGCCUAUUUCAGAAAAAUGAUCUGUAAAAGAAACAGUUUUUUUAUUAUAAACUUAGUUGAGCGAAUAAAUUCGAUCUAUAUAUUUAUGUAGGUGUAUAGAUCUAUUGUGCUGACCCUAUAAAAGUUAUCUCCAACCUUGGAGCACCUGUAAAAUUAAACGUUUUAGAGGGUGUCGUGUCUUAGAUUCUAGACGGAGACGAUAAUGGGUCCCCCAAAAUAUAACAGUCUGAGACCUAUGAUACGUGGGACAUCGCAUAAUAUAUUCCAGCCACAAAGCCAGCAGCCCAGUCAGGUAGCUGUUGGAGGCGCUCAAUCCUUCCGGACUUAGGGGGAGUUAUAAGUUUCUCGAUUGCCUUAUCCCUUCGCCAUUCCGCGGCAGCUUGAGAAUCCACCCAUUAGCCUAGUAGCUCAGCUCCGUUGUAUCCCACGUUCUGCAUGAACGUCAACUUAUUUGUUGCCAUCAAAACCCUCAUGUACCGGUACCAACCAAAGGACUACUCUUAUCCUGAUAUGCGUGCUUAAUUAAAAAAUCAAUAGAGACUUUCAGAUGUCCACAAGCCUUGAUGCUGUCUGACUGUCAGACAUGACAUUUAUCCUGUCCGCAUUUAUCUUUCUACGAGGACCUUUCGGGUUGACUUUCCUUCCUUUGGUGAAUACUUCCAGAGAUAUGCAAUAUGAAAAAUCGGUUAGUAUGGGAGGUCCCACAUUACCUUUUUCAAUAAUUCAAAUAUUUCUCCAUGAGUAUGCGAUUGAUUUCAUAUAUGGGAGGUUUCAAAAAAAUUGGCACAACCGCUCUCGAGCUUUGCGAACAGAAAAAAUAGCUUAAUAUAUAUAUAUUAGUACAGACAAAGAAAUGCUUUUUUUUCUGAUAGCGAAAGGGGCAGCAGUCGUAAGAAUUUAUAUUUGCGCGCGAAUUUUGCAUUUGUCUGUCUAGAAUCUGGAUUGCACCCAUUGUAUUCGAUUAAAUGUUCCAGUGAAAAGGUGCAAAAUAACGCGCAGCAUUUUCACCAGAUCUAUGAUCCCGGUAUGGGUAGUGAACUCAUUCUUUGGUACAAUUUAUGGAAUAAAAAGAACUUGUCUGAAGAAGUUUUGAAGGAUAAUGAAGUUGUAGAUCUAUUUAAAGAAUAAAGCGAGUUUCUACCAGCGAUAGAUACGUGUAUUUCCAUUUUGAGUGAUUUUCCAUGCACAACAGCUACAGUGGAGCGAUCAUUUAGUACAUUUCGAAGAGUAAAAAUCUGGCUCAGAAGCACAACAGCGUCCAUAGAAAACUGCGAGAUGAUUCUGGAGGAAAUAAUCCAAAAUUUUGCUGAAAAAAUUAACAAGUAUAUUUCGUUUUUCCCCCUUUUAUUAGAUCCUGGCUACGCCCUUGCCUCAGUUCUUAAUAUCUUUUCUGUUUCUGUUCCAAGACCGUUCUAAUAAUUCUUUAUGCGUACGGGAUGACCGUCUAGAAGAAACGUCAACAUUUUGUAGCUCACCAGGCCUGCUCAUGUCACGAAAUAACAGUAGUUUUCUUUCCUCUAGCCGACAUGGCUUCUUGCUAGAAGUAUGUACAUAUGCAUAGCUCAAAAUAUUUAUUUUAAACACUUUUCAAUCUUCAGUAGAAACAUUAAUACAAAAAAACAUAUGUCUUUGCAUAUCAUCAUCUUUAAUUACAAAGCAGCAUUUGACUAAUUUUAAAUUUUUAUAGAAGACGCCAUUUCUUAGUUCAUAAAAAUGCCUUCUAGGCUGCUCUAAACAAGCUAUUAAAUACCACAUGUUUUAAAGAUUUGACCUUGAAUUUCAGAAUGGGGGCAUCUCAGAAAAACAUCUUAAUAUUAAUGAUUGGCAUGUAUGUAAAGUGGGAUCACUAAAAUAUUUUCAUCUAAUAUUUUUUAUUACAUGUGUCUUUUUUAUUUAAGGCUUUUUUAUAGUGAUACCUACAUAGAAAGAUAUGUAUUUAAAUAUAUAUGCAUGUAAAAAAAUUUUGUAAAUUCUUGCAAUUAUAUACAAGUAAUAUAUUUUCUUUUUUGUAACAUAAAACUUUCACAAGGAAAGAAACAAUAAAAAUUUAAUGGAAAAAACAAAAUCAAAGUACCUUAUAAUAGAAUGAGCUGUAAAAACGAUACCUGCUUGAAACUAUAAAACGAAAUAAAAACCAGAAAUAAACAAAUAAAUAAAUUUUACAAGAAUACAAUUUGUAAUAGUAAUUUUUUGCCAUUAAAAACUUUGAUUUAAUUUUGCCAAAAAGAAGAAAAAUGCAAAGGUUAGAAGAAUUUGUUAAUUUGAAUGUUAAAAGAUCAUGUACACACAUGCAUACAUACACACAGAUGUACUACAUAUGAAAAUACACCCAAUAAACAUUUAGGUUGGAGGCCAAUGGGAUACCCAAUAUUCCAAUGUUGAUUUUAAAUUGGAGAACGAAACCAUUCUCAAAAAAAGGGACGUUUUUGGUAAUGCAAAAUAAUCUCAGUUCCCCACUUGAGAAAAGCUUGGAUAUCAAUUCAAAUGAAUUCAAGCUUUAUUCAACUUUUAAUUAAACCUUAAAAAAAAAUCUGGGAUAGAAAGGUUGUACAUCCACGGUAGAAUCAAGAUUUUGUCAAAUAUUGGAAAAAAGUUUGCUUUGUGCACAUUGGGCAAUCAUAAGAGUGAAUAACACAAGCCAACACAAUCAAUUAGCAUUGCAUUCUUAGAUUUUGAGUUUGGCGCGUCAAAAACAAAGCAGUAAAACUAUUACAUAACCAUGCUUAACAUAUCAUAUAAAGCUUGUAAAACUUAGAAAGAUGCCGAAAGUAGCUUCGCGUGCGACUUGAAUUAAGUUACCCUAUAUGCCGUAUUUUUUUUUAAAUUCAUGGCUUUUAAAUACGUUAAAAAAUAAGCUAUACAACCAAAUGCCCCCAAUAGAAAUAACUACGUAGAUAUUUUUGGAAUUGUUAGCUAAUUGCACACUAUUCAAUAAAACAUUUACAUUAGUAAAGUAAUAAGUAUGUAGUUUCAGAAUUCAUACAAAUACCUUUUCAUAAAAACAGCGAUCGGAAGUAACACAAAGAGGUUCUCAGAUAAACCACGUUGCACUAGGGAUCUUCACACCGACUUUGGACUUUGCAAAUUUACCUUUCAUUGAAAAUAAACGAUAAAAAGUGAAACAACUACCUUAA